GUCCUUUCGAGAUCAAGCGUGGUAGGAGUCUUGUAAAAAGAUAUGGAGUUAUCUUCACGUAUUUGGCAAUAAGAGCAGUACACAUUGAAGAUGCUUCAUCGCUGGACACAGAUUCUUGCAUUAAUGCACUGCGGCGCUUCAUCGCAAGAAGAGGACAGGUCAAGGAGUUGCGGUCAGACAACGGCACCAACUUUGUCGGCGCAGAGCGUGAGUUGAGACGAGCCAUUGAAGGAUGGAACUUGGAACAGAUCAAUGAUGCACUCUCAUUAAAAGGAAUAAAAUGUACCUUCAACCCACUGGAUCACAUCAUGGAGGAGCAUGGGAGAGGUUGAUUCGUUUUGUCAGAAAGGUCCUUAACGCAACAUUAAGGACACAAAGUCUGGAUGAGGAAUCACUCUGCACAGUGCUUUGUGAAGUGGAAUCAAUUCUCAACAGUAGACCCCUCACCAAGGAAUCGACAGGUCCUAACGAUUUGGAAGCAUUAACUCCGAACCACCUUCUGCUUCUUAAAACGAAACCCUGUUUUCCUCUUGGACUAUUUCAGAAAGAGGACAUGUAUGCACAACGAAGAUGGAAGCAAGUCCAAUACAUGGCUGAUUUGUUUUGGAAAAGGUGGACUAAGGAGUAUUUACCACAACUGCAGGAACAACAAAAAUGGGCAAGGAUCAAGCGGAAUUUCAUUCCUGGAGACAUCAUACUCAUAGUGGAUGAUUCUGCACCCCGUAACUCAUGGAUCGUUGGAAAGAUAACUGAAGUGGUUCCAGAGAGAAAAGGAAUCGUGAGACAAGUCUGGAUUAAGACCCAAACCAGCCGUAUAUACCGGCCUGUAACCAAGAUCUGCCUUCUUCAGGAGUUAGCCGAAUCCUGAUUGCUGUACUUGGAUAACGUGACUUUUGACUGAAUUGACUGGACUAUUUUUUGACUUUUUUCUUCUGAGAGAAAACUGAAGAUUGGCUCACAUUUGUAUGAUGGACUAUAAAUAAUAUUUUUCUUUCCCCUGCAUAUGUAAUGUUUGUGUAAUUAUUACUGCGUAAUAACUAAUAAUAAGGGGCCGGAAUGUAAGAGCUGGGUAUGUUUUUAUUAUUCUGAACACCCUUUUUGGUUAUUUACAGUAAUGAAUGCACCUGGUGGUGGUGGAGGAGGUAGAGUUUAUUAGCUGUUCAUCUGCGUGGUUUUAGAGUGGAGAUAGGGGGGGACGGGGGAAGUCAUAUUUUUGUUGACCGCUAUCUAAACGCUGUCUGAGAAGCAAUUAUGGAAUGUUUCAAUACAAGACCUUUGUUUGCUUCUCACGAUAAUAAAACGAGAAAAGGCA
ensembl:lncRNA